GACGAACGCUGGCGGCGUGCUUAACACAUGCAAGUCGAGCGAGCAGAUUUCCUUCGGGGAUGAAGCUAGCGGCGGACGGGUGAGUAACACGUGGGCAACCUGCCUUAUAGAGGGGGAUAGCCUUCCGAAAGGAAGAUUAAUACCGCAUAACAUCAGAUUAUCGCAUGGUAGACUGAUCAAAGGAGCAAUCCGCUAUAAGAUGGGCCCGCGUCGCAUUAGCUAGUUGGUGAGGUAACGGCUCACCAAGGCGACGAUGCGUAGCCGACCUGAGAGGGUGAUCGGCCACAUUGGGACUGAGACACGGCCCAGGCUCCUACGGGAGGCAGCAGUGGGGAAUAUUGCACAAUGGGGGAAACCCUGAUGCAGCAACGCCGCGUGAGUGAUGAAGGCCUUCGGGUUGUAAAGCUCUUUGAUCAGGGACGAUAAUGACGGUACCUGAAGAACAAGCCUCGGCUAACUACGUGCCAGCCGCCGCUGUAACAC
rnacentral:rRNA from 1 species